GGUUAUUCCGUUAACGAACGAGACCUUAACCUGCUAACUAGUCUGUCUGUGAAUAACAGAUUGUACUUCUUAGAGGGACUAUUGUGCAAGAAGCCAAUGGAAGUUUAAGGCAAUAACAGGUCUGUGAUGCCCCUAGACGUGCUCGGCCGCACGCGCGUUACAAUGACUGGCGCAGAAAGUAUUUCCUGUCCUGGGAAGGUACGGGUAAUCUUAUUAAUACCAGUCGUGUUAGGGAUAGUUCUUUGGAAUUUUGGAUCUUGAACGAGGAAUUUCUAGUAAGUGCAAGUCAUCAGCUUGCGUUGAUUAUGUCCCUGCCGUUUGUACACACCGCCCGUCGCUUGUAGUAACGAAUGGUCUGGUGAACCUUCUGGACUGUGACAGCAAUGUUACGGAAAAAUAAGUAAACCCUACCAUUUGGAACAACAAGAAGUCGUAACAAGGUAUCUGUAGGUGAACCUGCAGAUGGAUCAUUA
rnacentral:rRNA from 1 species